rnacentral:rRNA from 1 species
UUAGAGUUUGAUCAUGGCUCAGGACGAACGCUGGCGGCGUGCUUAACACAUGCAAGUCGAACGAUGAAGCCUAGCUUGCUAGGUGGAUUAGUGGCGAACGGGUGAGUAAUACGUGAGUGACCUACCUUUGACUCUGGGAUAAGCCUGGGAAACUGGGUCUAAUACCGGAUACGACCAAUCUCCGCAUGGGGUGUUGGUGGAAAGCGUUAUGGAGUGGUUUUAGAUGGGCUCACGGCCUAUCAGCUUGUUGGUGAGGUAAUGGCUUACCAAGGCGACGACGGGUAGCCGGCCUGAGAGGGUGACCGGCCACACUGGGACUGAGACACGGCCCAGACUCCUACGGGAGGCAGCAGUGGGGAAUAUUGCACAAUGGGCGCAACGUGAUGCAGCGACGCCGCGUGAGGGAUGACGGCCUUCGGGUUGUAAACCUCUGUUAGCAUCGAAGAAGCGAAAGUGACGGUAGGUGCAGAGAAAGCGCCGGCUAACUACGUGCCAGCAGCCGCGGUAAUACGUAGGGCGCGAGCGUUGUCCGGAAUUAUUGGGCGGAAAGAGCUUGUAGGCGGUUGGUCGCGUCUGCUGUGAAAGGCUGGGGCUUAACCCUGGUUUUGCAGUGGGUACGGGCUAACUAGAGUGCAGUAGGGGAGACUGGAAUUCCUGGUGUAGCGGUGGAAUGCGCAGAUAUCAGGAGGAACACCGAUGGCGAAGGCAGGUCUCUGGGCUGUAACUGACGCUGAGAAGCGAAAGCAUGGGGAGCGAACAGGAUUAGAUACCCUGGUAGUCCAUGCCGUAAACGUUGGGCACUAGGUGUGGGGGACAUUCCACGUUUUCCGCGCCGUAGCUAACGCAUUAAGUGCCCCGCCUGGGGAGUACGGCCGCAAGGCUAAAACUCAAAGAAAUUGACGGGGGCCCGCACAAGCGGCGGAGCAUGCGGAUUAAUUCGAUGCAACGCGAAGAACCUUACCAAGGCUUGACAUAUACUGGACUGCGUCAGAGAUGGCGUUUCCCUUCGGGGCUGGUAUACAGGUGGUGCAUGGUUGUCGUCAGCUCGUGUCGUGAGAUGUUGGGUUAAGUCCCGCAACGAGCGCAACCCUCGUUCUAUGUUGCCAGCACGUGAUGGUGGGGACUCAUAGGAGACUGCCGGGGUCAACUCGGAGGAAGGUGGGGAUGACGUCAAAUCAUCAUGCCCCUUAUGUCUUGGGCUUCACGCAUGCUACAAUGGCCGGUACAGAGGGUUGCGAUACUGUGAGGUGGAGCUAAUCCCUAAAAGCCGGUCUCAGUUCGGAUUGGGGUCUGCAACUCGACCCCAUGAAGUCGGAGUCGCUAGUAAUCGCAGAUCAGCAACGCUGCGGUGAAUACGUUCCCGGGCCCUGUACACCACCGCCCGUCA